rnacentral:rRNA from 1 species
UACAGAGGGUGCAAGCGUUGUUCGGAAUUACUGGGCGUAAAGGGUUCGUAGGUGGCUUGCUAAGUCAGACGUGAAAUCCCUCAGCUUAACUGGGGAACUGCGUCUGAGACUGGCGAGCUUGAGUGCAGGAGAGGAACGCGGAAUUCCAGGUGUAGCGGUGAAAUGCGUAGAUAUCUGGAGGAACACCGGUGGCGAAGGCGGCGUUCUGGACUGCAACUGACACUGAGGAACGAAAGCCAGGGGAGCAAACGGG